rnacentral:RNase_P_RNA from 1 species
AAGGCGGGACGAUCUAUCGCUGCCUUGAUUUGAAGCAAGGCAGAGGAAAGUCCGGACAGGAUAGGGCACCGUACUGUGGAAAGCACAGGUAGACGAAAGUUUACGUACAGCGCAGAAGAAAACGACCGCCAUGCCCAUGCGGCACGGUAAGGGUGAGAAUGCAGGGGUAAGAGCCUGCAGCCCUAUAUGGCGACAUAUAUGGCGUGCGCACUACGGCCUGCAAUGCCAAGUAUACUGACAGUCAAGGGCUGCCCGCCCGUUGUCAGGGGGUAGGCAGCGUAGAUAAAUGAUAGAUUUAAAAACAGAACCCGGCUUACGGCCCCGCCUUUUAU